rnacentral:rRNA from 1 species
UACGAAGGUCCCAAGCGUUAUCCGGAUUUAUUGGGUUUAAAGGGUGCGUAGGCGGGUUAUUAAGUCAGUGGUGAAAGCCUUCAGCUUAACUGAAGAACUGCCAUUGAUACUGAUGAUCUUGAGUACGAUUGAGGUAGGCGGAAUGUGUCAUGUAGCGGUGAAAUGCUUAGAUAUGACACAGAACACCGAUUGCGAAGGCAGCUUACUAAGUCGUAACUGACGCUGAUGCACGAAAGCGUGGGGAGCAAACAGG